rnacentral:tRNA from 1 species
UGCGGGAUAGUGUAAUGGUAGCACGCAUGACUCUGAAUCAUGAAAUCCAGGUCCGACCCCUGGUCCCGCAG